AGAGAGAGACAUGCGCGCAUAUCAAUAAGCGGAGGAAAAGAAACUAACAAGGAUUCCCUUAGUAACGGCGAGUGAAGCGGGAAGAGCUCAAAUUUGAAAUCUUCAAGGUUUUACCUUGACGAAUUGUAGUUUAAAGAAGUGUUUUCUGCUGAAGUUUUGGUAAAAGUUCUUUGGAAUAGGACAUCAUAGAGGGUGAGAAUCCCGUAUUUGACCAUUAUUUUCAGCUUUGUGAUACACUUUCAAAGAGUCGGAUUGUUUGGGAAUGCAGUCCAAAAUGGGUGGUAAAUUUCAUCUAAAGCUAAAUAUUGGCGAGAGACCGAUAGCGAACAAGUACCGUGAGGGAAAGAUGAAAAGAACUUUGAAAAGAGAGUUAAACAGUACGUGAAAUUGUCAAAAGGGAAGCGUUUGACACCAGUGUUGUUUUCUCGAAAAUCAAUUAAAAAUGGCUCGAUUUUGUAUUGCUUGAGACCUUAAAAGCUCACUGUACAUUUUUCGUGUCUUAUUUAAUGCACUUUUCGUUUAACAAGUCAACAUCAGUUUCUUUUGUUGUAAAAGGGUCAUUGGAAGGUGGCUUUCUUCUCGGAGAAAGUGUUUAUAGCCUUUGGCCUCUGCAAUCGGAAGAGACUGAGGUCUGCAGCGUAGACUCUUCGGGGUUAGAUACAUUUGUGCUAAGUUAUAGCUUUUUAUAGACAACUUGUUGACUAUAAUUAGUCUUGUUAGCUUACUCGCUUAUGCUAUUUUACCUACGCUUAGGAUGUUGAGUCGUAGAGCACGCAG
rnacentral:rRNA from 1 species